UGAUGUCGUAAUGGGGUGUUGUGAUGUCACUAUGGGGUGUUGUGAUGUCAUUAUGGGGUAUUGUGAUGUCAUUAUGGGGUGUUGUGAUGUCAUUAUGGGGUGUUGUGAUGUCGUAAUGGGGUGUUGUGAUGUCGUUAUGGGGUAUUGUGAUGUCAUUAUGGGGUGUUGUGAUGUCAUUAUGGGGUAUUGUGUGUAGAUUGAUGAGAGGGAAAAAAACAAUUGAAUCCAUGUUAGAAUAAGUCUGUAACGUAACAAAAUGUGUAAAAAGUCCAGGGGUCUGAAUACUUUGCGAAGGUGCUGUAGGUUAUAGGGUGGACCCUUAUCCCGUCUCCACACAGGACAAUACAUUAGAAAUGUACAUCUUUCACAUUUAUGUGGCUUUUAACACUUUCCUCUGCAAGGGGACAUCCAAUGAAACCAUUGCCUUUUUAUAUAACUAGAGCCUGGCGUGUCUCCUGGUCAGGUCACAUGAUCAGGGAUAACUCUGGGGCCCCAGUUAACUAUAACAUAGUGUUGUUAGUGACUAGAUGUCGUGGAACAGUUUGGUACAGUAUCUGUGCUUCUUUAAAUGUCUUUUUUUUUUUAUUCGAUACAUCUAACACUUAACAGUCUUUAGACAAUAGUUUAUUUUUAUUUUUGUAAAUGACCCUAACUCCGGAAAAAAAAAAAGAGCUUUGACUGCCGUGCUUCUGUGUUUCCAUGGCGACGUGUUGGCCCAGUGUCUUGUUGCCGUAACGUUACUGUACUGAAUUGUGUUGUAGUUGACUGACAAAUCUUUAAAAGGUUUUUGCCCAGGAAGAUCCUAUGACCAGUAUCUAUCUUCCCUACUGUCUCUAACUGACCUGUAUCUAUCUGUCCUACUGUCUCUAACUGACCAGUAUCUGUCCUACUGUCUCUAACUGACCAGUAUCUAUCUGUCCUACUGUCUCUAACUGACCUGUAUCUAUCUAUCCUACUGUCUCUAACUGACCAGUAUCUAUCUAUCCUACUGUCUCUAACUGACCAGUAUCUAUCUAUCCUACU
ensembl:lncRNA